rnacentral:tRNA from 1 species
GGAAAGUUGGCAGAGUGGUCGAUUGCGGCGGUCUUGAAAACCGUUGAGGCGCUAGCCUCCGGGGGUUCGAAUCCCUCACUUUCCG